UUCGGCUUGCUUAAAGGGGCCGUAGCUUGCCACGAAAGUCUAUCGGGAAAUCCACCCGCCCAACGGGUGGGCGUCCGGUAGAAACUACGUGGCUUGGAACCGGAAGGCUCAGAGAGUACGUCCGGGGUAGGAGUGAAAUCCCGUAAUCCCGGACGGACUACCGAUGGCGAAGCACUCUGAGAAGACGGCUUCGACAGUGAGGGACGAAAGCUCGGGUCUCAAACCGGAUUAGAUGCCCGGGUAGUCCGAGCCGUAAACGAUGCUCGUUAGGUGUGGCACCCACUACGAGUGGGUGCUGUGCCGCAGGGAAGCCGCUAAACGAGCCGCCUGGGAAGUACGUCCGCAAGGAUGAAACUUAAAGGAAUUGGCGGGGGAGCACUACAACCGGAGGAGCCUGCGGUUUAAUUGGACUCAACGCCGGACAUCUCACCAGCCCCGACAUCAGUAAUGACAGUCAUGUUGACGACAUCCGCCCGAGCUGAUGAGAGGAGGUGCAUGGCCGCCGUCAGCUCGUACCGUGAGGCAUCCUGUUAAGUCAGGCAACGAGCGAGAUCCACGUCCCUAAUUGCCAGCACCACCGCACGGUGGGUGGGUACAUUAGGGAGACUGCCAGUGCUAAACUGGAGGAAGGAAUGGGCAACGGUAGGUCCGCAUGCCCCUAAAAGC
rnacentral:rRNA from 1 species